rnacentral:rRNA from 1 species
CUUGCUUCUCUUGAGAGCGGCGGACGGGUGAGUAAUGCCUAGGAAUCUGCCUGGUAGUGGGGGAUAACGUUCGGAAACGGACGCUAAUACCGCAUACGUCCUACGGGAGAAAGCAGGGGACCUUCGGGCCUUGCGCUAUCAGAUGAGCCUAGGUCGGAUUAGCUAGUUGGUGGGGUAAUGGCUCACCAAGGCGACGAUCCGUAACUGGUCUGAGAGGGUGAUCAGUCACACUGGAACUGAGACACGGUCCAGACUCCUACGGGAGGCAGCAGUGGGGAAUAUUGGACAAUGGGCGAAAGCCUGAUCCAGCCAUGCCGCGUGUGUGAAGAAGGUCUUCGGAUUGUAAAGCACUUUAAGUUGGGAGGAAGGGUUGUAGAUUAAUACUCUGCAAUUUUGACGUUACCGACAGAAUAAGCACCGGCUAACUCUGUGCCAGCAGCCGCGGUAAUACAGAGGGUGCAAGCGUUAAUCGGAAUUACUGGGCGUAAAGCGCGCGUAGGUGGUUUGUUAAGUUGGAUGUGAAAUCCCCGGGCUCAACCUGGGAACUGCAUUCAAAACUGACUGACUAGAGUAUGGUAGAGGGUGGUGGAAUUUCCUGUGUAGCGGUGAAAUGCGUAGAUAUAGGAAGGAACACCAGUGGCGAAGGCGACCACCUGGACUAAUACUGACACUGAGGUGCGAAAGCGUGGGGAGCAAACAGGAUUAGAUACCCUGGUAGUCCACGCCGUAAACGAUGUCAACUAGCCGUUGGAAGCCUUGA